GAGAAAAUUAAAAAGAAGAUUAAUAAACUUUGUGUAAAAAGAGAACUUUCUAUACUGCUAGAUGAUAAACCUAAACUUAAAUGGAAAAGAUUCAAAUUGUAGUAUCCUUUCUGAUGAUUAUUAUUUUAUUGUAUUGUAAUAAAUAUAGAUUAUUAGUUUUUGUUGUUUAUUCACUCAUCAGACAAGGAUGUUAUUUUUUCCUCCCC
rnacentral:lncRNA from 1 species